CCGGUAGCUCAGGUGGUUAGAGCGCACGCCUGAUAAGCGUGAGGUCGGAAGUUCAACUCUUCCUCGGC
rnacentral:ncRNA from 11 species